rnacentral:rRNA from 1 species
UCCUGUAAGGAUAUACUGUAUCUAGAAAUGCUCCACCCUGAUCGUGUCCAGUCUCAGAAACUAAGCACGACUGGGCCUGAUCAGUAUUGGGAUGGGAGACCCCUUAGAAAACCCUGGUUGCUGCUGUAA